GGGCAUAUGGUGUAGGGGUUAUCACGUUCGCUUUGCACUCUUGAACCGAUCCAGCCUUGCGAAAGGUCUCCGGUUCAAAUCCGGAUUUGUCCA